UACGUAGGGGGCUAGCGUUGUCCGGAAUCAUUGGGCGUAAAGAGCGUGUAGGCGGUCCGGUAAGUCCGCUGUGAAAGUCGGGGGCUCAACCCUCGAAAGCCGGUGGAUACUGUCGGGCUAGAGUGCGGAAGAGGCGAGUGGAAUUCCUGGUGUAGCGGUGAAAUGCGCAGAUAUCAGGAGGAACACCAAUUGCGAAGGCAGCUCGCUGGGACGUUACUGACGCUGAGACGCGAAAGCGUGGGGAGCAAACAGG
rnacentral:rRNA from 1 species